rnacentral:lncRNA from 1 species
GGAGCCCUUCCUCUGCAGCGCCUGUCCUGGAGAGCCCUGUGAAUGCAAAGAAGGGACAUUAAAGGGCUGGAGAGUGAGGAAGACAUUUUCCUGAAAUACAUACUCAACACUCACUGCUAUUAACACAUUUCUGGCAAUGGCCUCGGGGCAUUUCCUGAUCUUCUCAGGGAAGAAGCCCAUGACCAGGAGGAUGAACCAACCAGCCAAUCAGAGGCCAGGCUGGACCUGAACCAGGACUGCUCGCAUCCGUUACAUUCUCCCCUGCUCUCUCCGGCUGGACGCAAGAUCGGAGGCUUGGACCCCUCUGCUGACCUCAGCUGGCCCUGUGUGGUGUGGACUGACUCCUUCAUGGCUCAGCUGAGCCCAGGGGACAUCCCAUAAAGCUCUGCAUGCACACACUCUUCUCUCCUUUGUACUGUUAGUUUGGACAUCAGUUUUUUUUUUUUAAUACAUUUAUUUUUAAU